GGGGGGGGGCAUUGUUGUGUGACGGGGUGAGUACUCCCUCUUCUCCACAACAUCUUUGUAAGACUGUCAUUCCAGGAGAGGGCACUCACCAGCUGCGGGGCAUUACCGAUCAGCGGCAGCUGCAGAUCCUCUAAUCAACCGCAUCAGAGCUCUAUUUAAGAGGAGAGGGAACCACUUCACAUCGCUGGAUGAUUAACUACUCACGGAUACUUGGAAUCUCUGAACCAUUGUUGGAUGUACCUACCUGGAAAUCACCAUAACCUGCCUGGAUUACAAUUCUCAAGGUUCGCCUCUCCUCCUACUCCACUGCCCUCUGCCGCCAUCAUCUGGCUCCCUCUCCUGGACACCCCGUCACACCGUCUGCCCUCCCUGCUGGCUUCUGGACUCGUGCCGGCUUCGUUGUACUUGGAUAUUUCCAGGACACUUUUAGUUAGGUUAAAUAAAUCAUUGUUUGAACUUU